GUGCCAGCCGCCGCGGUAACACGUAGGAGGCGAGCGUUGUCCGGAAUCAUUGGGCGUAAAGAGCGCGUAGGCGGCUCGGCAAGUCGGUUGUGAAAGGCCGGGGCUCAACCCCGGGACUGCAUCCGAUACUGUCGAGCUGGAGGUAGGUAGGGGAGAUCGGAAUUCCUGGUGUAGCGGUGAAAUGCGCAGAUAUCAGGAGGAACACCGGUGGCGAAGGCGGAUCUCUGGGCCUUACCUGACGCUGAGGCGCGAAAGCUAGGGGAGCGAACAGGAUUAGAUACCCUCGUAGUCC
rnacentral:rRNA from 1 species